GGGUUGUGAGGUUAAGCGACUAAGCGUACACGGUGGAUGCCCUGGCAGUCAGAGGCGAUGAAGGACGUGCUAAUCUGCGAUAAGCGUCGGUAAGGUGAUAUGAACCGUUAUAACCGGCGAUUUCCGAAUGGGGAAACCCAGUGUGUUUCGACACACUAUCAUUAACUGAAUCCAUAGGUUAAUGAGGCGAACCGGGGGAACUGAAACAUCUAAGUACCCCGAGGAAAAGAAAUCAACCGAGAUUCCCCCAGUAGCGGCGAGCGAACGGGGAGCAGCCCAGAGCCUGAAUCAGUGUGUGUGUUAGUGGAAGCGUCUGGAAAGGCGCGCGAUACAGGGUGACAGCCCCGUACACAAAAAUGCACAUGCUGUGAGCUCGAUGAGUAGGGCGGGACACGUGGUAUCCUGUCUGAAUAUGGGGGGACCAUCCUCCAAGGCUAAAUACUCCUGACUGACCGAUAGUGAACCAGUACCGUGAGGGAAAGGCGAAAAGAACCCCGGCGAGGGGAGUGAAAAAGAACCUGAAACCGUGUACGUACAAGCAGUGGGAGCACGCUUAGGCGUGUGACUGCGUACCUUUUGUAUAAUGGGUCAGCGACUUAUAUUCUGUAGCAAGGUUAACCGAAUAGGGGAGCCGAAGGGAAACCGAGUCUUAACUGGGCGUUAAGUUGCAGGGUAUAGACCCGAAACCCGGUGAUCUAGCCAUGGGCAGGUUGAAGGUUGGGUAACACUAACUGGAGGACCGAACCGACUAAUGUUGAAAAAUUAGCGGAUGACUUGUGGCUGGGGGUGAAAGGCCAAUCAAACCGGGAGAUAGCUGGUUCUCCCCGAAAGCUAUUUAGGUAGCGCCUCGUGAAUUCAUCUCCGGGGGUAGAGCACUGUUUCGGCAAGGGGGUCAUCCCGACUUACCAACCCGAUGCAAACUGCGAAUACCGGAGAAUGUUAUCACGGGAGACACACGGCGGGUGCUAACGUCCGUCGUGAAGAGGGAAACAACCCAGACCGCCAGCUAAGGUCCCAAAGUCAUGGUUAAGUGGGAAACGAUGUGGGAAGGCCCAGACAGCCAGGAUGUUGGCUUAGAAGCAGCCAUCAUUUAAAGAAAGCGUAAUAGCUCACUGGUCGAGUCGGCCUGCGCGGAAGAUGUAACGGGGCUAAACCAUGCACCGAAGCUGCGGCAGCGACGCUGAUGCGUUGUUGGGUAGGGGAGCGUUCUGUAAGCCUGCGAAGGUGUGCUGUGAGGCAUGCUGGAGGUAUCAGAAGUGCGAAUGCUGACAUAAGUAACGAUAAAGCGGGUGAAAAGCCCGCUCGCCGGAAGACCAAGGGUUCCUGUCCAACGUUAAUCGGGGCAGGGUGAGUCGACCCCUAAGGCGAGGCCGAAAGGCGUAGUCGAUGGGAAACAGGUUAAUAUUCCUGUACUUGGUGUUACUGCGAAGGGGGGACGGAGAAGGCUAUGUUGGCCGGGCGACGGUUGUCCCGGUUUAAGCGUGUAGGCUGGUUUUCCAGGCAAAUCCGGAAAAUCAAGGCUGAGGCGUGAUGACGAGGCACUACGGUGCUGAAGCAACAAAUGCCCUGCUUCCAGGAAAAGCCUCUAAGCAUCAGGUAACAUCAAAUCGUACCCCAAACCGACACAGGUGGUCAGGUAGAGAAUACCAAGGCGCUUGAGAGAACUCGGGUGAAGGAACUAGGCAAAAUGGUGCCGUAACUUCGGGAGAAGGCACGC
rnacentral:rRNA from 1 species